rnacentral:rRNA from 1 species
UACGAGGGGGGCAAGCGUUGUUCGGAAUUAUUGGGCGUAAAGGGCGCGUAGGCGGUGCGGUAAGACUGUGGUGAAAUCUUCGGGCUCAACUCGAAGCCUGCCGCGGUGACUGCCGUGCUGGAGUGUGGGGAGAGGUGAGUGGAAUUCCCGGGUGUAGCGGUGAAAUGCGUAGAUAUCGGGAGGAACACCUGUGGCGAAAGCGGCUCACUGGACCACUACUGACGCUGAUGCGCGAA